UUAUACUUUCCGGCCAGUCGGAGUAGGGUUGUACGGUACUCUACUAAUGUAACAAGUUACUCCGCGUCAAUCAGUAGAACAAGAAUGCAGUUGCACAUCAUUCUGAAAUUUGCCAUUAUUUUCGUUCUGUUAACGAGCUCAAUUGGUGGUUCUAACACCAUGAGACUUCCGGAUAGACAUCCAGAUUCCUUGAAUGCUAUCGGGGUCCUCGGUUUGAGUAAAUGUGGCAAUGGUCAAAAAUUUAAUUAUAAACUGAAUCGCUGCAUGAAUGUUUGGUUUGGCUAAUCCGAAAUUUAAAAAAAAAAAAGUCACAGUCGGAAUGGAAAGGAGUUUCGCCAUGGUUUAUUUUUACCCUUUAGUCUGGAUUGAAAUCUUUGCGCUGUUGAUUUUGUAUGGUCUAACGGAUUCUUUGUGAACGCAAUAAAUACUUGACAUGUCAA